CCGACAACGAAGUCCCGGUCUGAUAUGACACUCACAUUCGUCUCCACAGGAGAGCUGAUGCUAAACGGAUUGAUAUAGCAGAAAGGGUUGAAAUGGCGACUGGCGAGAGUCGCUGUUUCGGAGCUUGUAUUUCAAUCUUCGCGGCAAACUGGUAUGAAGAAGGUGGAAUGGCUGGCCAGAUCAGACUACGAGAUCGAAUUCCCCGCCAGCUAUUUACCCACUGCGAUAAGGAAAUCCACGUCAACAUCAGCGAUCUCAAUCGGGCAUACGCGCCUAUGAAAUCAUAAGCAGCAAAGAACCAGCAAAAAUUACCCUGGAAAUGUGCGAAUGUUAGCAGGAAUCUCGGGACAAUACGCGAAACGAUUACCAGU